UAUGACAUCAUGCAUGAUGUCAUAACUAAAGUAAUAAAUUGAAUUAUUUAAUUUGGGAAUUAGGGGUCUUCCAUAAGCAAAAAAAAAAAAACGUGUAAAGGAAACCAAAGGAAAAAAAUUAGGAUUUUCUUCUUCCUUGCCACCCCACUUUCCUCCCAAAUUCCUCCAUGAAUGGUCCUCCAUUUAAGCUUACAUUUAAGCUUAAUUUUCUUCACUUAAUCCAAAUAACUCUCUUAAAAACCACCCUAGAGCUUGUUAUUGCAACUUAAGAAGGAGAUUACAAGAAGAAAGAAGAGUUAAGAUAGGGUUUUGAAGCUUUGAGAAAGGUUAGUAUAUUAAACUCUUUAUUUUUCCAUUUAAAUGCAUCAUUAGUUGUUGAAUUAGCUUGUAAUGUGUUAAAAUGAAAUAAAAAUAUGGGGAAGAACAAACUGAAUUUUUGGGCAGCUUGAGAGGAGUAUGGUUUGCAUGAAUAUGAUGCAAUUGAGUGAGUUUAGAAGCUUUACUUAGUGAAAUGAUUAACAUUAAAAUUAUUAGAAGUAGUUAAAUGCAAGAGUUAGUGAGAUUAGGGUUUCAAUGCUAGGGUUUAUGAACCAAAAUUUGGAGAAAUGCAUAAAUGGCAUGUUGGACCUACUGUGAAGUGAAAUAAUGGUCAAUUAUGACCAAAUAUCUUGUGUGGGAAUGAUAGGAAACUAAGUUAAAUCGGAGGUAAAUGGUCAUGCUGCUGGCAGCAUGACCAAACCCACUUUGAAGGACCAAAACUCAAAUUUUACAAGUCCAAUUGAUAUGCCACCAAUUGGGGAUGAAAAUAGACAUAAAAUGACACAAUUUUCAUUUAGGAAGCAUGCCCAAAAAGUGACCAAAACCUAGUGAACAAAUUGACCAAAGUUGAAAAAUUGCAGGCUGCCUCUGUAUAAACUGACCAAAUGAUUUGUU
rnacentral:misc_RNA from 1 species